CGUGCAGGCCUUUUCAGGACUUGAGUACCACGUAGCCGGAUAGUCAGCCCUUGCUACGGCGGACGGUUCAUACGCGGUUAGAACCCACGACGGUCAUGCAGAUGUGAGGAAUGACGGCGGUGCCGCGGGACCGCUCCUAUCCAGCGGGUAACUUGCAUACUGCCACAUUGUCUCCUUCCCGUUGCAUACGCUGCAGGCAGGAGGAAGGAUGCACCUCCACAAAAACAAAAAAACACCGUCAUGAACCAGCGGCAGAUCUAACGGUAGACGGACUAGGCGAUCGCUGAAGAUCGCUAGUCUGCAGUAUGCCGUAUGUCUACAAGUGGACAGAGUAUUAGCAACAAGGGCCGCCGGAAAGAUGGUCGUUGGGGCCCCGGUCGCUGGAGAACCGUUUGCCGUUGGAGAGAAAAGGAAGCUAAUAUUUUAGCACCAGUAUUGGAUAAAUAUAUGUUGGAAAUGUUGCAAAGAAGAUCAAAUGGUUAUAGUUUUGCCCCAAAUCAAUUGCUCUGACACACAACAUUUCUACUCCAAUCAAUUAACAUGCCUCGCGCGUGAAUAAUGUAAGCAGGCACUUAAUAAAGACAAGUUUUGGUGCGAAAUAACAAUAAAAAAAAGAACAUCAUCAUCAUCAUCAUCAUCAGAAAACAUCAAGUUUAAAAAAAGUAGCGGAAUUUGGGGCAAGUGUGCCAUACGGGGUAAAAGUUCCACCAAGCAUUUUCCUUAAAAAAUUUAGUUUAAUGAUCAAUUGUGUAUACAGUUGGUUGCUUUCCAAUGACUAGGUAUACUGAGCCGAAUUUCAUAUAGACCAAUCGAUAUUUCCCAUUGUUUUGAACUGAUUUAUGUUUAGUUUCAAAAUUGAGCAGAAUAUUAUAAUUUUUUAAUCCAACCAAAUAAGCUCUCAAAAAUCAUGCGACCAAUCAACCGAGAAAAUAUUUACACCACAGUUUAGCUGAGAAAACGUGAUAUUUUUUGUGGGGUUAGUUGAAAGAAAAAAACUUUCCUUUUGUCACUGAAAAAUUCAAUUUCAAAAAAGUUACAACUUUUGGGGCAAGUGUGCCAUCUCUGUUUGGGGCAAGUGUGCCACCAUCUUUCAUAGGCGCGAGCUGUCAAAAAUGUAAACAUUGUUGUAGCGUGCUGCGGAAUGGUGCGCUAUUGUGAGCGGAUUCCACGCCAGAAAAACAGAACAGUAACAAACCAUAUUGUGGUACAAUUGGUGGUCAAAAAGGGUUCAUUGGUGACUAAGUACAUGUAGGAAUACAUACACUAGUGGUACAAACGUAAUAAUUUCCAAUUAUCUAAGAAAAACGGUUAUUUUAACCAGGUGGCCGUCUUGCCCCAUACGAGUGGCACUCUUGCCCCAUAGCCCAAAAAAGAACGUCUUUUUGGAUCCUUUUUAAAACACUUCAAAAACUGUUUUGUUUGCACUUUUUUCAAGCGAAACUCAUUUAUAAGUGAGGAAAUAGAUGUAAAAUGGUUAUGAGAUUUCAAUCGGCUUUUGAAAAAAACAUGUUUUAAUGAGUUAUAACUUGAAAUGCUUAAGGUGGCAUACUUGCCCCAAGUUCCGCUACUCGUUAGCUAACGAUCAGCCUAUACAAAGACGCAAACGUUCAACCACAGAGAACAGAUACGCACUGCUUAGUGAUAUUGGUGAUAACGAGCCGGCACCGAAGCAGAAGCUCAUACAAUCAAUCGCAAAAGAUGCACGUGUAUCGAAAAUACCACCAAUCACUGUAAAAUGCUCAUCGGUGAAACUAAUACACAAGACCAUCAUAGCUGCGGGUGUAGUGAGAUAUCAUAUCGAGAUACAAAAUCAACGUAUCACGGUACAAUAGUGCAAUUAUACGAAGUCGAUGACUUUAAAAAAGUGGUAAGAGUGUUUAAAGAAGGAAAUGUCAACUUUCAUACGUACCAGUUAGAUGAGGAAAAAACAACAAAAAUAGUUUUGCACGGUCUAAUAGAUCUACCAAUCAGUGAAGUGGUGGAAUUGUUGAAGGAAGAGAAAAUCGUGCCAACAGAUGUGAAAAAAAAUGUCAGUAAAGCAGAAAAAAUACGACGAACAUGCGGUCUACCUGUUACACUUCCUAAAAGGUAGCGUUAGUAUGGAGCUGUUACGUUCCAUUCGCGCCAUAAACCACUGCAAAGUAACGUGGGAAUAUUUUUCCACAAAACCCGACCCGAUGCAAUGCAAAAGGUGCCAGUUAUUUGGCCACGGUGCAGCAAAUUGCAAUCGUAUCAAAAGGUGUAAGCUGUGUGCUGGUGAACACGAGUCAUUGACCUGCCCACUUAUUGCAGGACCAUCAUCUGGGGACGGCCGUGUCCCCGAACACAAGCUUAAAUGUGCAAAUUGUGAUGGCAACCACACGGCAGGGUUCAUAGGUUGCCCCAAACGACCAACACGUAUGGAAAAAACAAAAUCUAACAAAUACACUAAUAAAAGAUUUGAUUUUAGGAAUGAAGACUUCUCACACAUGCCGAAAUCAACACGACUACCAGGUUGGAGACAAUACCAACCUAAAGAUAAAACGAAUAGCAGCAGUAGUAACGAUACAGGGCUUUUCGACCGAAAUGAAAUCUUGCCAAUAAUUAGGUGAAUGGUGAAUGGAUGAGUAAACUGCAAAAGUGCAAAUCCAAAGAAGAACAGCUGAUGACCAUCUUUGAAGUUAUCACAAAAUAUUGUAUGCCAUCAAAAUGAGCUCUUCUAUAUUGAAAGUUGCAAACUGGAAUGCAAAUAGCAUCCUUAAGAAAAAAUUAGAUCUAACAAAUUUCCUACAAAAGCAUAUUAUAGACAUUAUGUUAGUAACAGAAACUUUUUUGAAAACGCACAUUAAAUUUAGUAUUCCUAGUUAUACAAUUUACAGAUUAGAUAGAACAGAAGGACAAAAGGGUGGAGUAGCAAUAUUCAUAAAAAAUAGCAUCAAGCACAGAAUAAUGAAAUCACUCAAUUUCAAAGUAAUUGAAGGAAUUGGUAUAAAUGUAGAGACUUCUUCUGGUAACAUAUCAUUUAUCUCGGCCUACCAUCCAGGAGCGAACAAAAACAUGAAAGCGUUUGCAAAUGAUGUAGUUACUUUAACCAAAUUAAACAGCAGUUACUUUAUCUGUGGCGAUAUCAAUGCACGUCAUAGACUUUGGAACUGUGCCAACUCCAAUGAAGCAGGAAAGGUUCUGUUAGCACGUUUUUGUGUUGACUGUGUUGGCUGCGUGAAAAAUGUAAACAACACAACUGCUGUCACCCAGCGACCGAGAUAUGUAGAUAAACCAAGUUAGAAAAGGUGCCGCUAGGUGGCGUAAAGGUUGUUAUCUACUGAAAGAGGCAAACAUAUACAUUGCGAAAGAGAUGAAGAAACAAGAUCCAGCCUCCGGUCAUACACCCCAUAAAGGUCGAUAAUAAGGGCAUAGACAGGAAACGGCGCGAAACUAUUGCCAGUAGCAAAAGCGAGUGUGACCGGAUAAGUUAAAAAUAUAGAAUUUGCAUCAAACGUUAAA